GGAUUUGAUAGUUCACUUUGACAUUACCUAUUCUUAAUACAGUUCUCUUUUGUGCGCUUGCACGUGUGUGUGUAGGGAAUGAGAGUUGAGACUUGAAUAGAUUCUUGUGGAUUUGUAUUCAUACAAAGAAAGCAUCGGCCCAUUGGAUUUGCUGUUUGUGAUUUUCUAGGCCUCGUAGGAUCAAAAUACAAGGAUUCCUACCCAAUAAUACAUCCUGGAUAGGUUGUUGAACAGGGUGUUAUUAUGGGAGGCCAAUCAAGGGUUUUUUCUUUUUUUCAUCUUUCUUUCUUUUUUUUUUGACAAAAGAGAGUUGGCAAACUCCACCUGCCAAGACAAUGAGAUAAAUAAAAAAACCAAGCAAGAAGCUUAGGCUAGAAGAAGUGCUAAAAUUUGACAAUGUGACAUCUAGUGUAACAAUAAUAGUCUUCUUUCUCUUCAAAUGGCAUCCAGAAGGCAAAAGGAGUUAUUUGAUCACUCCAUGCAUGACAACAACCUUUUGAUCAAUACUCAAAAAUGAUCCCAUCUAAAUAGAUGGAUGGAUGCUGACCUAAUCAACAUGACCAACCCAACACACCCCAUGCUCCAUUGUAGCCUAGUGGCUUUCUGCAAUAGAUCCAAGGACCACUCAACACGAUUGUGUUCUAAUGACUUCUCAAUUACAAGGGCAACUUCCAUGGAACCAUGGUGCCAAACAAUGUAGGCUAGGGGGACCACAAACACCUAGUAUUGCUAGGUGCUAUGAGGUUUCUUUCAUUCAAUAUUUGGAUGGCCCUAGCCCCCAGGCCACCUAUAGAUCUGCCAUUACUCUAUAAGGUAAACUCAUACAAGGGAAAGCUUGGAAAGUGGUAACACUUAUGAGAUGUGGCCUAAAAGAGUUCCAACCAAAACAAGAUUCACAAUAAAUGUUAGGUUCAAAAGAAUGUUUGAAGGGACGAGAGGCGAGAUUGUAGUAGACUAGUAGGAAGUAUUCUUCAUGAUGCGAUCCCAAACAAAGCUCUCCAAGCAAUUUUGGGGGGAGUAGGAAAACUAGCCAUCACAAGCAAUGGAGACUUAGGCUUAAGGCUGUUGCAAAUCGUGGUGUUGAGUUUGUCCAUGGAGUUCUAUAUUGGUAGGUGGAAAAAUGAGGAAAUAGAGAAUCCCCAAGCUCAUCUUUCCUUGACAAGCAGUUGACAGUAAUUGUGAAGCUGCAGGGUCUUUGCAUGGCAAUGAAACAUACAAAAUCAAGGAAAAAAUCAGCUUAACUAGUGCCACAAUUAAUUGGCAAUUUCAUCUUUCUCAAAAUUAAGGAUUAAUAUUUAAUAUUCAUAGUAAUGUCCAAAUAUUUCUAUAGGAACACAAUAAAAUUUAUAAUACUUCUAUUCAAGGUCUACAAUCUCGGUACCGGAUACCUUAUCGGUACACCUCCGUGCUGAAAUAGUUCUCUUACCUAAUUUCUCAAUUUUUAUCUCGGUGCGCCUCGGUAUGGGCCAUUACGCACCUCGAUACACCUCGGUACGGGUGGGUACACCUUGGUACAGGUGGGUACGCCUCCGUACGGGGCCGGUACGUCUUGGUACGAGGCAGUUUGCCUCAAUACGGACAGUACAGGGCUCGUACCGACUUGAAUAUGUAUUUUGUACCAGUUUUCUUUCAGUACGGUACAAUACGCCUCGUAUCGGACGGUACGACAAUUCCAACUAGUGAACAUGCUAUAUAUUAUUGUAGAACUUUCAAUCCCAACUCACCCUCCAGUUCUAUUUACGUCAAUACUUCCAAUUCUAA
rnacentral:lncRNA from 1 species